GGCAAGAUGGCCGAGUGGUCUAAGGCGUAGCAUUAAGGAAGAUAUUCCGAGCAUUCGGAAAGCACCUGCUAUCUUCGGGCGUGGGUUCGAAUCCCACUCUUGUCA
rnacentral:tRNA from 1 species